rnacentral:tRNA from 1 species
AGCCCCGUGGUGGAGUCCACAUUAGAUUGCAAAUCUUAAGAUGCAGACUGACGUCUGCCGGGGCUU